GCCCACUGCCGCCGGGAGGCCGCGCACACUGCCGCUGUUGUGUGGGUUUGUGUUGAAGGUAAAGGGCCGGGAGGCCGCGCACACUGCCGCUGUUGUCCGGGUUUGUGUUGAAGGUAAAGGGCCGGGAGGCCGCGCACACUGCCGCUGUUGUCCGGGUUUGUGUUGAAGGUAAAGGGCCGGGAGGCCGCGCACACUGCCGCUGUUGUCCGGGUUUGUGUUGAAGGUAAAGGGCCGGGAGGCCGCGCACACUGCCGCUGUUGUCCGGGUUUGUGUUGAAGGUAAAGGGCCGGGAGGCCGCGCACACUGCCGCUGUUGUCUGGGUUUGUGUUGAAGACAUAGUCAACAUUUCUGAAGAACUUGUCAAAACUGGCAUGCACUGAGAAAAUUACCCGGGCCUGAUUAAAAGAUAAAACACGUAGAAAUGAGAAAUAUUCCAAGUGAUGGACACCUCACAUACCCUGACAUGAUCAUUAUACAUCCUGUGUAUAACCAAACAUCCCAUGUACCCCAUAAAUAUGUAAAAUAAUAUGUUAAUAAAGCAUGAAGCUG
rnacentral:lncRNA from 1 species